rnacentral:rRNA from 1 species
GAUGAACGCUGGCGGUAUGCUUAACACAUGCAAGUCGAACGGUCUUUUAGGAGAUAGUGGCGGACGGGUGAGUAACACGUGAGAACCUACCUUCAGAAUGGGGAUAACAGUUGGAAACGACUGCUAAUACCCGAUGUGCCGAAAGGUGAAAGAUUUAUCGUCUGAAGAUGGGCUCGCGGCUGAUUAGCUAGUUGGAAGUGUAAGAGACUCCCAAGGCGACGAUCAGUAACUGGUCUGAGAGGAUGAGCAGUCACACUGGAACUGAGAAACGGUCCAGACUCCUACGGGAGGCAGCAGUGGGGAAUUUUCCGCAAUGGGCGAAAGCCUGACGGAGCAAUACCGCGUGAGGGAGGAAGGUUCUUGGAUUGUAAACCUCUUUUCUAGGGGAAUAAAAAAAUGAAGGUACCCUAGGAAUAAGCAUCGGCUAACUCCGUGCCAGCAGCCGCGGUAAUACGGAGGAUGCAAGCGUUAUCCGGAAUUAUUGGGCGUAAAGAGUCCGUAGGUGGAAGUUCAAGUCUGUCGUUAAAGAAUGGAGCUUAACUCCAUAAAGGCGGUGGAAACUGAGCAACUAGAGUGCGGUAGGGGUAACGGGAAUUCCCAGUGUAGCGGUGAAAUGCGUAGAUAUUGGGAAGAACAUCGGUGGCGAAAGCGCGUUACUGGGCCGAAACUGACACUGAGGGACGAAAGCUAGGGUAGCGAAAGGGAUUAGAUACCCCUGUAGUCCUAGCCGUAAACGAUGGAUACUAGGCGUAGC